GAUGAACGCUGGCGGCGUGCCUAAUACAUGCAAGUCGAGCGAACAGACGAGGAGCUUGCUCCUCUGACGUUAGCGGCGGACGGGUGAGUAACACGUGGAUAACCUACCUAUAAGACUGGGAUAACUUCGGGAAACCGGAGCUAAUACCGGGUAAUAUAUUGAACCGCAUGGUUCAAUAGUGAAAGACGGUUUUGCUGUCACUUAUAGAUGGAUCCGCGCCGCAUUAGCUAGUUGGUAAGGUAACGGCUUACCAAGGCAACGAUGCGUAGCCGACCUGAGAGGGAGCUCGGCCACACUGGAACUGAGACACGGUCCAGACUCCUACGGGAGGCAGCAGUAGGGAAUCUUCCGCAAUGGGCGAAAGACUGACGGAGCAACGCCGCGUGAGUGAUGAAGGUCUUCGGAUCGUAAAACUCUGUUAUUAGGGACGAACAAAUGUGUAAGUAACUAUGCACGUCUUGACGGUACCUAAUCAGACAGCCACGGCUAACUACGUG
rnacentral:rRNA from 1 species